CGCGGGGUGGAGCAGCCCGGUAGCUCGUCAGGCUCAUAACCUGAAGGUCGUAGGUUCAAAUCCUACUCCCGCAA
rnacentral:tRNA from 1 species